rnacentral:lncRNA from 1 species
ACUCUCACAAACCAGACUAGGCCCGGCCCACUACGGACAAGUAAGACAACUAGGCUAGAGCCUUGAUAAGACAGGUCAGAGUAGGGGCAGACUAAUCAUAGGGAUAAAAAAAUAAUUACCUAGUAAUUUUUUAUAGUUAGCUAUAGACGGAGGAAGUUUAGAAAUUUUAGAAAAAGAAAAGAGAAGAGGGGUGAAAUGCUAUGAAAUUUCAAAAUAAUUAGUAAAAAAAAAAGCAGUUAGAACCAAA